rnacentral:rRNA from 1 species
AGCUCCAAGAGCGUAUAUUAAAGUUGUUGCAGUUAAAAAGCUCGUAGUUGGAUUUCUGGUACAACGCGCCUGGCCCGCUUUUUGUGGGUGCCGGUGCGCGUUUGCCAUCCUUCUAGAAAACGUUUCUACCCGGGUAACUGGGCCGGACUCGCGAUCUAGAUCUUUUACUUUGAAAAAAUUAGAGUGUUUAAAGCAGGCUUUUGCUGUGAAUACAUUAGCAUGGAAUAAUAAUCUAGGACUUCGGUUCUAUUUUGUUGGUUUCUAGUACUGAAGUAAUGAUUGAUAGGGAUAGUUGGGGGUGCUAGUAUUGGCCGGCCAGAGGUGAAAUUCUUGGAUUCGGUCAAGACUAACUUAUGCGAAAGCAUUCACCAAGGAUGUCUUCUUUA